rnacentral:hammerhead_ribozyme from 1 species
AUCCAGCUGACGAGUCACAAAUAGGAAGAAACGCGCGUCAAACUGGAU